UAUGAAAUACUAUUUGAUCCGAUUUAAAUUAUAAUUACACAGAUUUGAAAAUUCCGUUGGCUAAUUACAGGGCCUAACGUUAACCCAACUGAUGGAAAUAAAUAAUAACUGAACUUGUAACAGUUUUGUUGCAAAGCACAAUAUUAUGGUGAAAUUAGAUCUCGUGUUUGUUGAGUUAAAACCAAAUUAUUGUUGUAUAAGCAUAGCAAGCAUCAUAGCAAAAAGGCUAACAAACUUAAGAGUUAUACCCACCAAUUAACAUUAGCCCUUCAUUCAUGACAUGGAUACCGUAAUAAUCAUACAGAGAGAACAUAGUUGCAUACCUUUAUCUUUUGCUCGUUUCUCCUCUUCUUUUCUUUUUUUUCUAAAUUGGGCACCUGAUGGCUUUGACCUUUUCCUGUCCAUCUCUGUGUUUAUUUGGCACUCGACAAUCAACAGAUUUCCCAUCCCCCCAACACUGUCACUCACGACCAGAAGUCAAGACUAAACCAAUUCACCUUGGUGACCACAUAAUCGUUUUGUAUUACCUAUUUUUAUUAGCCAUUUCACACAAUUCAGAAAAACAAAAAUGUGCAGGAACUAUAGGCCUGUAUUUAUAAUAUUAUGAAUGAAAUGUGCGUUAUUUGGAAGAAAGUCGAGGUGUGACUGACUUUAGCCCACUAAUUCCAUUAGAGUAUUGCUCUAUACAGUGGAUCCCCCCCCUCCCCCCGUCCGUUCCAUUUGGGAGAGACCCAGAGGUCAACUGUCCCCCGCG